UGAAUCACUAGUUUCUCAUUCUGUUGGCCUGUUGUUAGCAGCUACACAUGUUGCGAGCUGUUUAGCUUCAGCUUGAGAUCCCAAAAUGUAUUUUGGAUUUUGUGUGAGAGUGCUUGUGCUCUCACUGUUGACUUUUGGCCAGCAUGUAAAUGCACUCGGUGACAGUGCAAAAGGUGUCAUCCAGACCAAAGCUGGCAUGUGGGAUUUUGUCUCUCCCGAGAAUGGAAAAAGAUUUGAAUCUGUUAUUGCUUCAAGUAGUGGAAUUGUUAUGCAAGCUGGUCCUCAGCCCCCUUUUGAGCACCCGCCAUCCGUCUACCAGCCCAAGCCCG